rnacentral:SRP_RNA from 2 species
GCCGGGCGUGGUGGUGCAUGCCUGUAAUCCCAGCUACUCAGGAGGCUGAGGCAGGAGAAUCGCUUGAACCCAGGAGGUGGAGGUUGCGGUGAGCCAAGAUCGUGCCAUGGCACUCCAGCCUGGGCGACAGAGCGAGACUCUGUCUCAA